rnacentral:piRNA from 1 species
UUCAUGGGCUGCAACCAGC